rnacentral:snoRNA from 1 species
UUGCAAACUUGGUCACUAGCUCUGCAUGAUGUUGCAGAAGCAAGGGGAACAGAUUUGCUAACGUAAACGUGGUCAUAGAACUAAUUAGCCUUAGAAAUCAAAUUAUUUGGACUGUUAAUUUUAUACCAUGAUAAGG